rnacentral:rRNA from 1 species
GUGACCUCAAAUCAGGUAGGACUACCCGCUGAACUUAAGCAUAUCAAUAAGCGGAGGAAAAGAAACUAACAAGGAUUCCCCUAGUAACUGCGAGUGAAGCGGGAAAAGCUCAAAUUUAAAAUCUGGCAGCCUUUGGUUGUCCGAGUUGUAAUCUAGAGAAGUGUUAUCCGCGCUGGACCGUGUACAAGUCUCCUGGAAUGGAGCGUCAUAGAGGGUGAGAAUCCCGUCUUUGACACGGACUGCCAGGGCUUUGUGAUGCGCUCUCAAAGAGUCGAGUUGUUUGGGAAUGCAGCUCAAAAUGGGUGGUAAAUUCCAUCUAAAGCUAAAUAUUGGCGAGAGACCGAUAGCGAACAAGUACCGUGAGGGAAAGAUGAAAAGAACUUUGGAAAGAGAGUUAAACAGUACGUGAAAUUGCUGAAAGGGAAACGCUUGAAGUCAGUCGCGUUGUCCAGGGAUCAACCUUGCUUUUGCUUGGUGCACUUUCUGGUUGACGGGUCAGCAUCAAUUUUGACUAUUGGAAAAAGAUUAGGGGAAUGUGGCAUCUUUGGAUGUGUUAUAGCCCUUAGUUGCAUACAAUGGUUGGGAUUGAGGAACUCAGCACGC